GGAUUCUGAAGGGUAAAUCAAAUAUAAACAAGCAAUUUUUGUAUUAUUUAUUGUGGGAGCGAUAUGAUUCAGAAACAAAUUGUUUAAUAUACAGUUUCCUUGUAUUGAAACACAACUUCCAGGCGUUUCUAAGGUAUUCCUAAUUCCGUCAUCAUAAAAAUAUGAAGAUUGUCUACACUCAAUUGCACAUGAAGAAUCCAACCAGGAAUCCAAGGUCCUAGGAUACUCAAGUAGCCAAGUUCCUCAAUGAUGAUGAAAUGUGUAUUCCAGCGAUUCAGUUCUGCUAAAGAAGCAAUGCUUAUUCGUCGCGAAAAAGUACACAAGGACGUUCAGAGAAGCAGAUUUGGCAGGAAUUGGAGAAUAAUGCCGGUUGAAGUAUCCUCAUAUUCUUCCUUUCUAAACCUGGCUCCACAACAUUUGGCGCUAGAGAUUUUUACAAGAUAUUGGAAACAAUCGCCCGAGAGAGGGUCGAAUGAAUACAUUUACGAAGUAGCGGUUACUUUAACUAUUGCUACACAAUCAAUGAUACUCAUCCCGUUCUGAGACCGGAGAACAUUCAGAUGAUGACAAAGUGAAAUUGGGCGCCUCACACCCACUCGAAUCGACGGAAAACGAUGUCCGGCGUGCUGGAUUACUUGCCACCGGAGGUGUACAUUGGGAAGGAAACACUUCGAGAUGUGAUAUUUGUUAUAAUGCGUUUUCCCCGGAGUUCCUUCCAAUCAUGAGUGCAGGAAGUGGGUGUCGUAGUUCACAAGUUAAUUAGAAUGUCGCUCAAAUUGAUCCUGUAUCUUCCUGCGACAUGAAUAAAAUAGUAACAAAACCAUUCAUCAAAACCGUGUUAGCGUUCUUGUUCUUGAGUCUCAUUCGUACAGCAAUAGAAAAUCGUGAUUGUGCCUCACUACAUUAAAACGUUGGAUAUGAUUAUGGGGAAUACGAAGGUUACGAUUAGAUGGAUUAACUCCUUUAUAACCUAGAAGAAAAAUUUUGUUCCAGCUUCAACAGCCCCUCAACGAAUAAUUUUAUCUUCCUAUUGAGUGCGAAAGCUGAUGGAGUCGGCCUGAACUUGAUUGGGCAUUAUGCUCCGGGCAUCAGUUGUGGAUCAAAAACAAAUCCUCUGCAACCCGAAAUUUGCCGAAUAGAAACCCAGAUUUUUCUGCCAAAUCGGAUCGCAACGAUUAUAUCAUACAUCGAAUGCAGCAUUGUGAAUGCCGAUACGUGAGAGAUAUUCUUGACCAGAAUAAUUUAAAUCUGCUGGAAAAUCAAGAUGAAUCUCUGAAGCGCAGUAGGUUACAAUACUAACAAAACCUCGACUGAAGAAAAAUAAACGAUCCUUGAAAAUGCAGGAACUAAUGUGCUAGAAACAUCAUCAAUUUUUUUGAUCAAUAAAUGUUGUGUCAUUAUGUUAUGCCGAUAUUUUAUGCGAGAAAAAUGUUUAGGAUGUGCUAUUUAUUCUGAACUAAUUUGAAUUUGAUCUCCAUAUUUAAACUAAUUAAAUAAGCAAACAUCAGCAUUUCGGCACAGAUCAUUUGAUGAGUCUCAAUCUGAUUAAUAUUUAGCUGCCAUCUGAUACCGACGACAACUGAGUAUAAAUAGUGUAAUAAAACGUAA